CACAUAUAUAAAUCUAAAAUGAUAUCAUUUAGGGCAUAAAAGCCCACAAAUAUCUGCUGCCUACAUCUCUUACAAGAAACUACUAUCUUGAAGUGUAAUUUAAAUACAAAAGGUCUUUUGCCAAAGUCUGCGUUUUCACACACACAUAAACAUUUACCUGACACUGAGGCUACCAAAAGAACCACAUUUAGAGGAAGGGGGAAAGGGGAUGGUGGGAGGGCAUGUGCAAAAUGCAAAUCUGGCACUUGGCAUGGUCUCAAUUUGAGAGGCCCAGGCAGAUUGGGAUGUAUGGCUUUGUUCCAUCAAAAGGUCGUUUGAAGCACAGUAUUUUAUUUUUAUAGUAGGGUAUUGAGUUCUGAGGUCUCUGAUACACCCCAGGGAACCAGCAAAAGCUAGUCUCAACCCUGUGCCAGCCCCCUGCUGGGUCACUAAUGAAGAUGGAGAACUGUGAGUGCACCCAUAUAAAACACAGGAAAAGGCGAAAAAGGACUCCGAGCUGGGUCCGUUCCUUUUAUUCCAGAGGAGCAACCUUUUCUGUACUUAGAGACUAAUGAGUCAUGAACAGGAGAGGGGAACAAAUCACACAGUACAUUACCAGGAGGGACAACACCGUCAGCCUUUGUGUUCAGUAGCUGGUUCAGUUUUCAGAGCAUUUCCCAGCAAGGACCAAAAGCAACUUGAACAAAGGAAACAGCAGUUAGAUACUUGAACUGUCUCCAUUAAUACUCCAGAGAAUUGGGUGCUUCAAAGUUGGAGUGACUAAUGAGAGUGGGGAGAGGAUAUAGAGUUGUUAUUUUGAAAGUUCUGUCCUUUCUAAGGACAUGAGCUCUGAUCCCUCCACAGACUUUUAAACGGAGAACAGAAAUGAAGCAUAAGAAGUUACGCCCAUACAGCAACUGAGCCAAAGCCAGACAGACAUCUGAAGCUUCUCUCAUGCAGGAAAAAACACCAGCACAAUUACCCCAGACACCAUUUAUUUCUCUCCCCCACUUCCUUCAUCCCCCGCCACUCUUUCCAUCUCAAUCUCCCCCCCACCUCUCUCUCUCUGUCUCUCUCUCUCUCUCUGUCUCACACACACGCGCACACACACACACACACACGAUCCCAUAACACUGCUAGUACACAGAAAGCUUUUCUGGCAUAAUUGAUAGCAGCAAAUGCUGCAACAUGAGAAAGUUUCCAAUAAUCUGAAAGAAAGGAAGAAGAUGAAAAAAGAGGGAGAAAAAAAUGAGGAGUUAUUAGACGAAAGAAAGAGAGGUUGAAACAGCUAACUCUCUCUAUUAAAAAAACAAAAACCUGAGACACAUUCAUGGAAAAUGACAGCGAUCCAAAUUGGUCACGGUAAAAAACCCUGGCCCAUCACGCCCCCCAUCCUGUGCCUAUAAAAACCCCGAGACCCUAGCAGGCGGACACAUGGUGGCUGGACGUUGAGAGGAGCACACGAGCCGAGGAACACACGGGCAGCUGGACAGCGAGAGGAACGCACUAAUAGGCACCAGCACACCGGCAAGCCAACAACGCGGAGUUUGGCUGGGGCAGUCGUUGGAGAGCCCCGGCCUCUGGGCGGCCCAACUCCAGGGGAAAAACUUCCCACUCCAUUCCCCUUCUGGCUUCCCCCAUCUGCUGAGAGCUACCUCCACUCAAAACCUUGCGCUCAUUCUCCAAGCCCACGAGUGAUUCAAUUAUUCCAUUACACCAAGGCAAGAACUCCAGGAUACAGAAAGCCCUCUGUCCUUGAGAUAAGGAAGGGAGUCUAACUGAGCUAACAGAAGCCGCCUACAGACGGCAAAACUAAAAGAGCACUCUGUGACACACGCCCACUGGGGCUUCAGCUGUAAACAUUCACCCCUAGACGCUGCCAUGGGGUCAGAGCCCUACAGCCUGCCCAUCUAGCCUCCCCUAGAGGUUUGAGCAGCAGGACACUGAAGAAGCGAGCCACUCCCCACUGUGGCACGCCCUGCAAGGGGGACAAGGGAACUUUUCCCAUUUCAAUACCACCUUCACAUACCAUCUUCAGUCUCUUCUUUGUAGCCAGAAUGCAUGAAAGUAUGACCUCCCACCUCCCAUGAUCCUAUCCAAUCACCUCCCACUUAACUCUUUAACCAAAUUUACUGAACUCCUGAAACUACCAGACUACCAAAAAGGCUUCUAAAAGGCCACUGAUGCUUUUUAGUUACAAAAUCCAAUGGCUUUUUUAAUUUAAACAAUCUUUUUGUAUUUUACUUGAACUCUUAGCUGAAUUCAGAACCAUAAAACACUCCCUUCUUUUUCAAACUCUCUCUUCCUUUGGCUUCCUUAACUAUACACUCCUGAUUUUCCUCAUACUUCUCCAGUCCCUCCUCUCUUCAGUCCCUUGAAAAAGCUGCUCAUAAGGUUGCUAUACUAGGCCCUCUUCUCUAUGCAUUCUCCUUGGAUAAUGUUAUCUACUUCCUUGAUUUCAAUUAAACUAGCUAUAUACCCUGAAGAACACCCAAUCUAUACAUCCAGCCUAAAUCUCUCUGUGUCUCUAGAAAUGCAGACACUGUCUAAAGAACAGGAGGUACAAUAAGGAACAAAACAGACACAAUCCAUUUAUUUCCCAAGUUCACUGUCUAACUCUUCCUUGUGGAUGUCUCAAAGGCAGCUCCAAUUGGAAAUGUCAAAAGCUGAAGUCAAUUAUCUGCUCCUAUUCCAAAAGAAAGGACAGUUUUUCCUACUCUAGUCCUCAUCUUAAUGAAAGCCUGGAAAUUAUUCUUGACGCCUUCCUUUCUCCAGUUAAUCACCAAAUCCUAAUGUUUUACCUUCUAAAUAUCUCUGUAUAAAAUUUCUUAUAAUUCCACUGUCACUACCAAAACCCAGGCAACCAUCAUUUCUCACCAAUGUUAUAGCUAGCAGCUUCUUAACUGGUCUACCAUCAGACUUAUUAUCCACGGAUUUUUUUUAACAUACUGCCAUAAGACACACACAGCAGCGUACAAGUCAUCAGUAUUGAGGCAGGCAUAUAUAUAGCAGGGGUUCAAUAUAUUUUUGUUGAAUGAAUGAAUCAAUCAACCAACCAACCAAUCCAGACUCCAAGGGUUACCUUUGCUGUUUCUUCAAAAAUUUCCCCCAAAUUGAGCAGUGGUCUUUGGAAAACAAAAUAUUACCCCAACAUUUAUGCCUUUGUUUUGCUCUGCUCCUCAUGAUUACAAAUAUUGGGGAAGUGCAUCAGACUGAUGAAAGCUGUUCAGGAUCCAUAUUUAAACUCCAGUUGUGUAGGACCACCAUGUAUGUCCACAGCAGUUGUUCUGAACUGGGGACAAUUUUGUCCCCCAAGGGAGUGCUGCUACUGGCAUCUAGUGGGUAGAAGUCAGAGAUGCUGCUAAAUAUCCUACAAUGUACAGAACAGCCCCCAGUGACAAGGAAUUAUCUAGUACAAAAUGUCCAUAGUGCCCCAGAGGUCUAUAGUUUCAAAAACAAGGCACUACCAAAAGCACUAUUUCAAAAUGUCACAGGAUUAGGAUGUUACAACAAGACAAUAAACCUGUUAACUUCCUCUGUAAAAUGAGAUAUGACACUUUCCAUUUUCUAGGGUAAAAGUUAAUGGGUUUCUCAGAUUUUAAAAAACAGAGAUAAAGUUUAAAUAAUGCCUUAGUGUUCCAACUUUAGGAAUUUAAAAAAUAUUUACAACAAGUUCUAAUAAGAUUUAUUAAUUUCUUUACUGAAGGCUUCAUUUUCUGCUCACUCCCAACAAAAAUAAACACAAUACUAAAAUACCCCAACAUGCACACACGUACACACUCAAUGUCUUAUCAUUGCUUCUUACAGCUUUGGGAAACAAAAAGAUUGUUUCUUUCUCACGUUCCCUCUCUGUCUUUUUCACUCUCUUUAUUUAACCAACCAUAAUGUUGGUUAUCGAGUUGUAGAGUAAGUUAAUAUAGUUCAUAAUGUAGUUAUGGAGUAAGUUUUAUUGUCGCUUGUACUUGUUAAUGUGUUCCCAUUCUCAAGAUAAAAAAUAAAUAAGCAGAACUCUUCAUGUUUCUCUCAGAAAACAAAAAAAAU
rnacentral:lncRNA from 10 species